rnacentral:tRNA from 1 species
GAGGUUGUGGCUCAGUGGUAAAGCUUGCCUUGCAUGCAUGUGUGAGGCCCUGGGUUCAAUCCUCAGCACCACA